GACGAACGCUGGCGGCGCGCCUAACACAUGCAAGUCGAACGAGCGAGAGAGAGCUUGCUUUCUCGAGCGAGUGGCGAACGGGUGAGUAACGCGUGAGGAACCUGCCUCAAAGAGGGGGACAACAGUUGGAAACGACUGCUAAUACCGCAUAAGCCCACGACCCGGCAUCGGGUAGAGGGAAAAGGAGCAAUCCGCUUUGAGAUGGCCUCGCGUCCGAUUAGCUAGUUGGUGAGGUAACGGCCCACCAAGGCGACGAUCGGUAGCCGGACUGAGAGGUUGAACGGCCACAUUGGGACUGAGACAUGGCCCAGACUCCUACGGGAGGCAGCAGUGGGGAAUAUUGCACAAUGGGGGAAACCCUGAUGCAGCGACGCCGCGUGGAGGAAGAAGGUCUUCGGAUUGUAAACUCCUGUUGUUGAGGAAGAUAAUGACGGUACUCAACAAGGAAGUGACGGCUAACUACGUG
rnacentral:rRNA from 1 species